AUGACCUGGCUCCUACUUGUGCGGUGUAUGAGUUGAGGUACCUGUGCCUGCAGCAUGAAAUGCAGGUCCCCCGUGAGGGACGUCAGUACGAAAUAUGUACUGAGUAUGUAAAGCUGUAAAUAAUCACAUAUGAUAUAGGAGCUCAAUAGAAAUCAGAAACAAGUGAAUAAGUCGUAAUAGGAGUGGACCACACUUACUAGAACUUGUGACAACCUGUACAUUGUAUUUAUUCAAUCACUUUACCUUCGUUCUUAUCGUCUUUGUAAUCAUUACUGUACUGUACUGUGACCAUUAGGAUGCCUCCAGUACAUAUCAACUGGGAUCGACCCAUGCUAGGCUUAUGCCCCUGGGAUACCACCCAUAAACACAUGAAAUAGGGAUCGACCCAUGCUAGGCUUAUGCCCCUGGGAUACCACCCGAUAAGAGAGAACUUUCAUCACUUAGUUCAAUUAAUCUUUGAGAUUGUUAUUUCGGUCGUCACCACAUUUUUGAUACCUUGAAACAAUGAUACAUCAAUAGGAACCAAGUAAUAGACCUUCUAUACAAUAACGAUGUAAUAAGGACUCAUUGGUACAUCAACAAUAUGUUUCAGAAUCAUCAAUAUCACAACAAUGAAAUAAGAGCCUUUUGGUAUAUCAAUGAACAUUUUGACACUUUAUAGGAUGGAAACAACUUCGUUGGUAACGUAGAACAAUACAUGUUUUUGGACAACCUCGGAAUCUUACUUGAUGGAACAUUGGUGUUUUCAUGCCAAAGAACAUUGUUAGAGUAUGCUUUACAUACCUCGUUGUAGAUUCAGCUACCAAUUCAACACAACUUCCCGCCUUUACAAAUCACUUAUCUACAAUGAAAUGUUUGGCAUCUAGUAUUAGCAACCCAACACCACAAUUCUCUUCCAUAAUUCCAUACUACCAAUAUUUGCAAAACAUUCCAAAAACCAACUUGAACAAUAGGUUUAUGUGUGUAUAUGUAUAUAAUCAUCAUCUCAAUACCACAUCAUCAAUACCACAUCAUCACCCCAACAUUUUGACACUUUAUAGAAUGGAAACAACUUCAUUGGUAAUGUAGAACAAUACAUGUUUUUGGACAACCUCGGAAUCUUACUUGAUGGAACAUUGGUGUUUUCAUGCCAAAGAACAUCGUAAGAGUAUGCUUUAAAUACCGCGUUGUAGAUUCGGAUACCAAUUCAGCACAACUUCCUGCCUUUACAAAUCACUUAUCUACAAUGAAAUGUUUGGCAUCUAGUAUUAGCAACCCAACACCACAAUUCUCUUCCAUAAUUCCAUACAACCAAUAUUUGCAAAGCAUUCCAAAAACCAACUUGAACAAUUGGUUUAUGUGUAUAUAUAUAUAUAUAAUCAUCAUUUCAAUACCACAUCAUCACACCAAAUUCCUUCACCAUUCAACAUAAUCCAACAUCAUUUCCCAAUCAUCUUUCAACAACAAUCAAAUAACAUACUUCUUAUGCUCACAUGCAUAUAUAUAUACAUAUCCAUAUAAAUAACACCAACAUAAUUUACAUCCUUACCAUAAAAU
rnacentral:lncRNA from 1 species